rnacentral:rRNA from 1 species
AGAGUUUGAUCAUGGCUCAGAACGAACGCUGGCGGCAUGCCUAACACAUGCAAGUCGAACGCCAUGGUUUCGGCCAUGGAGUGGCGCACGGGUGAGUAACGCGUGGGAACCUGCCCAGCAGUAUGGGACAACCGCGGGAAACUGCGGCUAAUACCGUAUACGCCCCUGCAAGGGGGGAAAGAUUGAUCGCUGUUGGAGGGGCCCGCGUCGGAUUAGGUAGUUGGUGGGGUAAUGGCCUACCAAGCCUGCGAUCCGUAGCUGGUCUGAGAGGAUGAUCAGCCACACUGGGACUGAGACACGGCCCAGACUCCUACGGGAGGCAGCAGUGGGGAAUAUUGGACAAUGGGCGCAAGCCUGAUCCAGCAAUGCCGCGUGAGUGAUGAAGGCCUUAGGGUUGUAAAGCUCUUUCACACGCGACGAUGAUGACGGUAGCGUGAGAAGAAGCCCCGGCUAACUCCGUGCCAGCAGCCGCGGUAAUACGGAGGGGGCAAGCGUUGUUCGGAAUUACUGGGCGUAAAGGGCGCGCAGGCGGCUGCUCAAGUCAGGCGUGAAAGGCCUGGGCUCAACCCGGGAAUUGCGCUUGAGACUGGGCUGGCUUGAGUGCGGGAGAGGAUGGUGGAAUUCCCAGUGUAGAGGUGAAAUUCGUAGAUAUUGGGAAGAACACCGGUGGCGAAGGCGGCCAUCUGGACCGCAACUGACGCUGAGGCGCGAAAGCGUGGGGAGCAAACAGGAUUAGAUACCCUAGUAGUCC